GCCCAUUUACAGAUCUCGUUUUAAGAUAACUAGUUGUCAAUGAGAACAAUUUGUAAGUGGAUCAAUGCAUUCAAAUAUUUUCACAUGCACAGAAAAAAAAGAUACUGUAUAUGUAACGCCAAUGGUUCUGUCAGAGAAAGUAAGUACACAAAUGUAUGCAUUUUUGAAAUUAUGCAUAUAUUAGAAUUUUAUAUGUUCCACAUCAGUAUACUUCUUGAUUGUCAAAC